rnacentral:rRNA from 1 species
UACGAAGGGGGCGAGCGUUGUUCGGAUUUACUGGGCGUAAAGGGCGCGCAGGCGGCUAUCCAAGUCAGGCGUGAAAGCCCCGGGCUUAACCUGGGAGGUGCGUCUGGGACUGGGUGGCUAGAGAUCGGGAGAGGAGAGUGGAAUUCCCAGUGUAGAGGUGAAAUUCGUAGAUAUUGGGAAGAACACCGGUGGCGAAGGCGGCUCUCUGGACCGAUACUGACGCUGAGGCGCGAAAGCCAGGGGAGCAAACGGG